rnacentral:rRNA from 1 species
UACGUAGGGGGCAAGCGUUGUCCGGAUUUAUUGGGCGUAAAGAGCGUGUAGGCGGCUUUACAGGUCCGUUGUGAAAACUCGAGGCUCAACCUCGAGACGCCGGUGGAAACCGUAAAGCUAGAGUCCGGAAGAGGAGAGUGGAAUUCCUGGUGUAGCGGUGAGAUGCGCAGAUAUCAGGAGGAACACCCGUGGCGAAAGCGGCUCUCUGGGACGGUACUGACGCUGAGACGCGAAAGCGUGGGGAGCAAACAGG